CUAAGAGUGCUCUGCCUGUCCUCCAGGUUCGGGGGUUCAGCUCAGGGCUAACAACCCUGACUGGUCAAACAGAAUAGUUACAGAACAGCAAUGAAGAAUCCUCCUACAUAUGGUAUUCCUGAGUCUCAGCCAGGGACUUGCAUGACUGACAGCAGUGAAAAACGAGAGGAAGCUACUGACAUGAUGAAGGAAAUCCUGAACACCACCAGAGACAGAGGACCUUCACUGUUGCCCUAAACACUGGCGCGCGUAGCAGGCAAUUCCUGCCAUCUGCAUCGUUGCAUAUACAGUGGUCUACAUACAACCCACCAGAGUCCUGGGAAUGUUUUAUCAUAUAGGAAGAAACCCUAUUCACCUGCCUUCUCCCUGUAAUCUUUGAUGUCCUUAAAACUCAAGAACCUGUGAACUUCUGAUCUAAAUACACCCAGUGACUUGGCCUCCACUGCCACCUGCGACAAGGAUUUCACAGAUUCAUCACCCUCUGGCUAAAGAAAUUUUAAAUAACUGAACAAGCAACUGAGAAUGAAUUGUUCAUGCAUUAUGGUACCCCAGUGAGUUUUUGCUUUUUAUGCAUUUCAACAAUUUUUAAAGAUGUCACUUCAUAUUGUCCAUGAACAAAUAAAACACUCAACAUUAUGACCCCUGAUGAAAAACGUAAAUGGAUUCAUUCAGUAAAAGUCACUGUGAUAAUCAUAAACACAAGAGAUUCUACAGAUGCUGGAAAUCAGAAUGACACACGCAAAAUGCUGGAGGAGUUCAGCAGAUCAGGCAGCAUCUAUGGAAAGGAAUAAUCUAUCAAUGUUUUGGGCCGAGAUCCUUCAUCAGGACUCAGUGAUAAUCAACUGACUAUGGAUGUACUGACAAUAAUGUAAUGUUAUUUA